UGGGGAAUUUUGGACAAUGGGCGCAAGCCUGAUCCAGCCAUGCCGCGUGAGUGAAGAAGGCCUUCGGGUUGUAAAGCUCUUUCGGCCGGGAAGAAAUCGUGGUCUCUAACAUAGGCCAUGGAUGACGGUACCGGACUAAGAAGCACCGGCUAACUACGUGCCAGCAGCCGCGGUAAUACGUAGGGUGCGAGCGUUAAUCGGAAUUACUGGGCGUAAAGCGUGCGCAGGCGGUUUUGUAAGACAGAUGUGAAAUCCCCGGGCUUAACCUGGGAACUGCGUUUGUGACUGCAAGGCUAGAGUACGGCAGAGGGGGGUGGAAUUCCUGGUGUAGCAGUGAAAUGCGUAGAUAUCAGGAGGAACACCGAUGGCGAAGGCAGCCCCCUGGGCCUGUACUGACGCUCAUGCACGAAAGCGUGGGGAGCAAACAGG
rnacentral:rRNA from 1 species